AAUAAAUUUUUAUAGUUUAAAAAAUUUAUUAUAAAUUUAUUUUGCAUAUAAAUUUUUGUAUUUAAUAUUUUUAAUUUUAAUAAUUAGAAAUAAUAUAUUAUAGUAAUUAAUAUUAAAAAUUUAAGAAAUUAAGAUUUAGUAAUAUUUUAAUUGAUAACAAAUUUUGUGCCAGCAGUUGCGGUUAAACAAAAAUUAAAUUAAAUUUUAUUAGUAAUUAAUUAAUAAAUAAAUUUUUAAUUAAAUAUUAAAUUAUUAAGUGAAAUUUUAAUUUAUUAAAAAUUAAUUUUAACUUUUUUAUAAUUUAAUAAAUUUUAUUUAUAAACUAGGAUUAGAUACCCUAUUAUUAAAAAUUUAAAUUAAUAAUACUAAAAUAGUAUAUAAUUUUUUAUUGAAACUUAAAUAAUUUGGCGGUAUUUUAGUUCAUUUAGAGGAAUCUGUUUAAUAAUUGAUAAUCCACGAUUAAAUUUACUUAAUUUAUUAUUUUGUAUAUCGUUGUUAUAAAAAUAUUUUUAAUAAAAAAUAAUAUUUUAAAAUUUUAAUUAUAAAUUAAAUCAGAUCAAGAUGCAGAUUAUAAUUAAGAAUAUAAUGGAUUACAAUAAAUUUAUUUAUAAUGAAUAUUAAAUUUAAAGAUUUAAUUGAAAGUGGAUUUAAAUGUAAUUUUAAUUAAUUUAUUAAAAUGAUUAAAAAUUAGAAUAUGUACAUAUUGCCCGUCGCUUUCAUUAAUAAGUUGGAAUAAGUCGUAACAAAGUAGAGGUACUGGAAAGUGUUUCUAGAAUUAU
rnacentral:ncRNA from 1 species